UACGAAGGGGGCUAGCGUUGUUCGGAAUUACUGGGCGUAAAGCGCGCGCAGGCGGUCCUUCAAGUCAGGGGUGAAAGCCCAGAGCUCAACUCUGGAACUGCCCUUGAGACUGUAGGACUUGGGUACGGGAGAGGUGAGUGGAAUUCCGAGUGUAGAGGUGAAAUUCGUAGAUAUUCGGAAGAACACCAGUGGCGAAGGCGGCUCACUGGCCCGUUACCGACGCUCAGGCGCGACAGCGUGGGGAGCAAACAGGAUUAGAUACCCUGGUAGUCCACGCCGUAAACGAUGGAUGCUAGCCGUUGGUAAGCAUGCUUAUCAGUGGCGCAGCUAACGCAUUAAGCAUCCCGCCUGGGGAGUACGGCCGCAAGGUUG
rnacentral:rRNA from 1 species